UUGAGUCUCUGGGAGCAAGGUGUCCCAUGCCCUGGCACCAACGUUCCUGUCCUGGGGGGAUGAUUCUCUGAGUCAUGCAGAGGAAAAGAAGCGUUCUGAUGUAAAAGACAACAGGAAGGCGUUCAGCACGCCGUGUGCCAGCAGGACACCUGCAGAGCUGCCGCAGGGUGGAAGGGAGCCACAGGCUGCAUGGGGAGUGCUGAGAAAACUGCACGGCUGCACAAAUCUGACGCCAAAGCAGGGCUCUAUUUUUGGUCUCCGCUCUGCGUUUCUGACACCUGUAGGGACGCGUGAAGUGCACAAGAGACUUGUGCAGCACCUCCCGGAGCGGAGGAGCCGCCGCAGGGCAUGGGAGCGCAGCGGAGCGUUCUUGCUUAGCCAACAGGACUAAUUAUAACCCAGGAAUAUGAACUGUAAAUGUGCUGAAGCUGCCAAGACGGGAGCUGGGUGUGUGCCAGCGCUUGAAUGAGGACACACCAUCCUGUCAGGACUCUCCGGGAGCAGCAGGCAGCACCGAGGUACGCGCGGAGCCACACGGAGGGAGAUGGACACACCGGGGUACGGCAGGAGGACGGUAUACUUAUCAGAUGCAUUCUGUGAUCUCUACAACUGAACCUGCACAAGCAUUUCCUUUCUAAGUUCACUCUAGGAACUGCACUUGUCCUUUAACUGCUCGAACUCCCAGAGAAUUACACCUAACAAGACCUUUUUACCUACUGAGAAAUAUAAUGACUGAGUUCCUGGUUUGUUUUAAUUGGUGCAAUGGUGAUCAGCCCCCACCGAAGAGGCGCCGGAGACUGGACCGGAAUAUGAUAGGAGAGCCCAUGAACUUUGUGCACACCGCGCACGUCGGGGCCAGAGAGAUGAGUAGUGACUAUUCCUCUGCUAUGUCAAUUCAGGACCACAUGAAGUCUAAAGGCGGCUACACGAAUGGCACUUCUGCAACUGUUGAAAUAUAGGAAACUGAGAGAAGGCUGAAAUCUGCUCUGUCUUAUGAGAACCCCCUGGACUGUGCUUUCAUAUUCUCUAAAACCUUGUUAUCAUGGAGUAGGGAGAGUACCUGAAUUAAAAAUAGGCUGUGAAGACCUUACAUCAAGACAAUCAAGAAACACUGCAGCUCUGACAUGAUGCCAUUUUAUGGUUUCUUUUUUUAGUCAGAAGUAAAAUAACUUGCAAGCAGAGCAGGAUCAACUGGUUUUUAUGUAGUCUAGCAGAGUCUUAGCACUGUUUGCUUCCUUGGGAAAAAGAAUUUGGGGGAGGUAUUUUCAAUUCUUGCUGUCUUAUCCCUUGAUGUUCCUGCUAGGCUUUACUGACUGUUCCAUAAUAUUGCAUACACCUCUGGUCAGUAUAUAGAAAAGGUAUUUGUCUUUUUUACAGCCUAGUAUGUCUUUUUUAUCUCCUGCAGAGCAGCUUUAUACCAUUACAGGGUGUCAGUGCUAUGCUCCAAGUUGCCUGUGAUAUGAUAACUUGCAACCCACACACGUGGCACUAUUCCUUUGUAUGCUCUUGCCAUAUUGGACUACCAGGUGCUGUUAUAGCUUCCACUCUGUAGAGACAAAAAAUGUUGAGAGAUUAAUAAAUAUCCUUAAUCUAACUAUGCCAGUAAGAAUAAGCACAAUUCAACAAUGUUAAAAUCCAUGUUCAUGAAAUUCAUUAUAUGUUACUAAAUAUAGUAUCACUCGAAAAAGAAACUCCAAUCUGUCAGUGAAAGAUGAUUAAAUGGCUGCUCCUGACCAUGUAUGGAUUUCCUUUGCUGCCAGUACUGUGACACUGCCUUGAAAAGCCAACAGUUGAAGAUAAGAACAGUCUUGUCUGCCUUUCAUAAUUGCUGUGGAACUAUAGGAAGAAAACAGUGCUGUUUUACAGUGGUGCUAAGAUAUUCCCUGGUGAGUGGGUUUCUGUAAGGCUUCCAGAUACUUUGUGGUUAAUGCUUGAAAUUCAAAAUUUUAGCUGCUUACCUAUAAAUGUGGAGUCCUGAAUGCCUAAAGAGAUGCUGGAAGUGCUUGGUGCCUGGAUUUCUACAGAUAAACUGUCCUUCUUUCCUACACAGAGAUUUGUCUGACACAGAAGGCCCAAGGUACUUAGACCAGUAAUUUUCCUGUUAAUAUUUAUGUGGUUACACUGUACAUGUAAAAGGUUUCUCAUCCUGUACAGAAUAGGUCCUCUCUAACAACUGGUCUGUUUGACAGUUGUUUCCUCAACAGAGCAUUAAGCUGUGGAAUUAAACCUUUCUUCACACACAGAUCUAAGCCAGUUUUUCUUUGCUAUGUGAAAGCAUAAAAUCCCCUUGUUACUGCUAAACUCUUCCUACUGCAGGGAAGGUGUUGAAGAGCUAACAGGCUGGUCAGGAGCUACAGAAAAAAUGAGGUAUGGAAGUGAGAGAGAUUCAGCCACAGGGAGGCAAUGUGGUGCACAUUAAUGAGGAAGGAGCAGAACAUGCUCAUGUUGACGUUUCUUAUCUGCAAUGCACAAGACAGCUUUGAUAUCAGUUGGAAAAUACCCAUAAUAUGUGCAUAAUUAGUAUAUGGAGGAAAUUAGGCACUUAAAUGCAUGACUAAGCUGGGACUUUGAGACACAGAUUGCCAAUAUAACUUUAAUGAAUGGUAGUAUCCUCUUCCCGCAGUGGCUUACAAUGAUUUUUUCAGAAAGUACAGAGCCACUCACAAAGGUAGCUCUGGUUUCAGCAGUUGCAGACUGAUGUCACAUUUAUGUUUGAAAGACGAGAGGGAUUUUUCUCUUUUUUUUUUUGCUGUUUGUGAGGUUACAGAUACUGUAAAUGCCAAGGCUUGCUGCAUCCACUGGAACACUAGCCAAAUAAAAACUAACAUUAAUACAAAAUAGCAGUCGUAAAAGAGUAUCUGCCUUUGGUCCACUGCAGUGCCAAAACUUCAGGGAAAUUAACGAGUUCUAGCUGAUAUUCAGAUUCCAGGUAUUGGGAAGAUAUGAUCACGUUAGAGUGAAAGGUCAUGAAGAAUUCCUUGUGCCUGAGGAAGUUUGGGUGACAGUUUGGUGGAUUGCAGACUGAGAUGCCAGGUCACCAUGGCUAUACCAGAUUUCCAUUAAUACUUUUUCUCCUGCUGUUGUGUAGAGAAUGGAAAGAUGAAACAAAAUAGUGAAAGCGCUUUGAGUAGACAGGGAUGUUACUGGUAUGUGUUCUUGUGCCGAAAAAGCUCCCAGCUUGAGGUGCUUGAUACUGAACCACAGCUUCACCUGGGAGCUCAGAGAUGGACAAGCUCAUAACUAAAAGCUGUGCCCUUUCAGGGAGGAUGAGGUACAGAGCACCCAUGGCAUGCUCUGCUUUGGCCUCUGCACUGCCUAACCCAGCUUAUCAAGCCCUGCACUAUGGAUACUGAACACCUUGUGGCUGUCACUUGUUCCAUACAUCCUGUUUAUGUGCAUCCCAUUAGCAUGACCAAUAUCCUAAAGUGAUACCCAAAACCUUCGUUUCAAUGGAAGUUCUCUUAACUUAAUGUAAGAGAGUAGUAAUGGCUGGACAAGAACCACAGAUUUGAGGUGUCUGUUGAGACCUCAAUGAAUUACUCAUGAAAUUAAGGCUACAAAACUGUGUUGAAACUAUUUUAUUCAGUGAAUAUUUAAAAUUUUUUUGCUGCUAUUAAAACAAUGUAAAUGGGAAGAAUAUUCUAACAAAUGUUAAGUUUCCUCUAAUAUUUGCAUAUAAAUCCAAACUGAACAAAACCAAGGCUAUUAUUACUAAGGGCCCAUCCUAAUUCAGAGGCAAAAAAAAAGUUGAGUCAUGUAUUUUGGUGUUUUAAUAUAUAUGUAUAUAUUUAGACCAUCUUAAGUAAUGUGUAAGGAAAUAAGACAUUCUUUUAAACUGAAAUUAGUAUGAUUGCUCUGGCUUACUGAAAAUUUAAAAAAUGGACUUAAAAUCUACAUUUAAAUCACUGGAAGAGAAUUGAAUGUGCUUUUAAAGCUGACAUUGGCCUGUACAAGUGGAUGACUAAUUAAUUUCGUAUUUCUUCAUCAAAGAGCUAGAAAAAGUGGUUACAGGAUUCUUUUUAUUUCAUAUAUAAUAGUGUAUUUACAUGCAUCUGAUCUUGCUGGUGCUUAAGAAAUAGGUGUACAUUUUACAUAACUUACAUGAGUCUAAAGGUGAAUGAAGACUGCCCUACUAACCAGUAAUUAGUGAGCUGUGUGUUAUUAAGAUUUCAUGGAUCUGACAAAACAAUGGUAUUUUUUCUAGUCAGAAAUCUAUUUUUAAAAAAUUGAUCCAAUAUAUGCAAGUUUGAAAAUCUGGACUCAACAUGAGCUGAAUCUGCAGAUUAAUGGUGAAAGAAAUACCCUUUUAAAUGCAGUUACCCACAUUUACCCUUGCAGUUUCUGCCACCAGGGAAUAUUAAAACCUGACUCAAUGCCUUUGAGGGUUUGACACAAGCUUAACAAUGUAAUUCAAAAGUAAGGUUUACAGUACUUCAUUAAUGCAUGCUAAUGGAGCCUUGCUGCAUCAUGGUGUAUGAGUAAGGCUAUCACUCAUUUCUUUCAUCUAGUUGAAACAUUACCUUGAAAAUACAUUUCAAUUGGUUAUUCUCCCUGCUGCAUAAUAUUCAGUGAACUAGGGUAUCUCUUCCUUGCAGAAAUUAAUAUUUACUGGUGUUCAGAUAAAGUACAUGGGGAAAAGUUGCUAAACAUGUGUUUGUAUUAAUAAAUAAUUCUUAAAUGC